UGACCGCGGCCCCGCGGCCCCGCCCUGCCGUCUCGCCCGUCCCGCCCGCACUCGCACGUCCCACCUCCUCCUCUCCCUCUCUCGAUCUCCUCUGUGAACCCUAACCCCGCGCUCGCACGCUCGCCCUCUCGCCUCCGCCUCUGCUCAUCCUCGCGUUGCUGCCUCCGCCUCUGCUAGCCCUCGCGCCGCCGCCACCGCCUCUGCCUCUGCUCGCCCUCGCGCCGCCGCCUCCGCCUCUGCUCGCCCUCGCGCCGACGCCUCCACCUCUGCUCGCCCUCGCGCCGUCGGGCCGUUUCCUCCUCCACGCCCCCUUGGUGCUCAUUAGGAAAAGCGCGGCUCGGCGUCGGCCCUCGCGAGUGAGGUAGGACGCGCGCAGGAGGGAGCGGCGGAGCAAGGUGGGGCCGGUCGAGGUCUCUGUCAAUCUGCUGUUGUGGUCAUCGAUUUGCAGAUUUGUCGGGUGUUGCCGGUGCCUCCUUUGAUCUGACCCGGUUGCGUCUUCGUUCAUGGAUCUGAGUUUGGGAGAGAUACAACAGAGAAGACCACCAGAGAAACGGUCGUCCCGAACCCAGACUAUCAUUGCUAUACUUGGUGAGCUCUAGAGGGAUAUCUGGUUUGUUUAUGUCUUGGAUUGGAGCAGCGACGCAAGUAGGGAGAGAUCGUUGCCUGGACUGCUUCUACUCUCAUCAUCGUGGCUUGCAGGUCGCCACCGUCACAAAUGUUACUUUUCAUUUACAUUCACAUGAUGUUGUAGUGUUCCAGGCAUGAAAACGAUAAAAUAUUGUGGCCGGCUGCCACCGACCGACUCGAGCUCGCUUCAGCCUCCUCCUACGAUCCUGCAGCUACUACCUCCCCAAGCAAAGUCAACCUACAGCAACAAGGAUUACAAAAAGGUGUGGAGGCCGGCUCUCUCGGUUCACUCAAGAGUACCUUUGUUCUGCUGUAGCUCAAAACGUAGAUGCCAGAGCCACGACGCGAGUGCGUCUGCUUCCCGUUAGGAGAACAUGGUUUGAUGAAAGGAGGGUGAUGGAUGCGCCAUGGGGCAAGUCACCUGGAUUGUGUCGUGUUGGGAGGGUGAUGGAUGUGCCAUGGGGCAAGUCCGUCUGAUGAAUGGUGUGGACGGAAGAGCGACAAUAACUAUGAGGUUGGUCAAAGGUUGAAAGAAAUCUCUUAUGUGUCUUCGGUCUCGACACCACGUGUAGGUAGCCGUCAUUGAUAAUACAAACUUUGAAAAGUUUGUUUCAAGGUUCAUAACUCUGUUGUCAAUGGGGAAAAUGUUAUCUGUUUCAAGUGACAAAACAAACUACUCAUAGCAGGUUCAUGUGAUGUGGCGUAUAAAAGGUCGAACGUCAAGACGAUCAGGUGGAUGUAUCCAAAAAUAUGCUUUUGUGGAA